UCGAGGCCUUUUAUAGCUGACUAUGCGGUAUGGGCUUUGCUCAUUGUUGAAGGCCAUACAGUGACCUAUAGUUGUUAAUGUCAUUUUGGUCUUUUGUGGAUAGUUGUCUCAUUAGCAAUCAUACCACAUCUUCUUUUUUAAAUAUAGAUAUUAACCAAUCGUCCAGGCUUCUACUUAAUAUUCUCUUUGAUGUUUUAUUUAAAACACCUGUAUCAUGCAAGUUGAAAUAUUAUAAGUAAAUAAUAUUAUUUAUCAUUUUCAGUGGACAACACCAAAGAAUCAAUAUCAAGGAAGUGUUCCAUGCUUUGAACUAGACACAUCCUGAUGCAUGAGUAAAUAUAAGAAGGAAGACCAACUGAUGAUACCCCUUUCUGUUGAUUAACAUGUACAUGUAUUUGAUGAUGAGAAAUCAGAUAGUAUUGCUUAAUCUGACCCAUACUGGAAACUACACUCACUUGGGUUAUGUUUUUUUAAGAAAACAAUGUUAUUGUCAAACCUGUAACUCAUUGAGUUGUAAAUGAACAGGAUUAUAAAUAUUUGCUUUUAGAUAUUGUUAUCAAAUUAACAAUUUAGCUUCUGUGAUUAUAAAGUUAUGAAUCAAUUAAUCAAUUUGUGAACUAAAUAAGGCUUUUACAAUGACUCUUACAUAGGGCUUGUACAAUGAGACAGAAGUAUAUAUCACUUCCCGUGUAUCUGGUUACUUGUGAGGUUAGCUCUAUUAGUUUCAUUUUUUUUUCAUUAUUU
rnacentral:lncRNA from 1 species